rfam:Lactobacillus acidophilus NCFM, complete genome.
GUAAAUCAUAGAGGCGCAACUGACAAGAGUAACAAUUAUAAGUUAGGCAAAACGAUGAUUAAUUGUGAAAGGGGAGGUUGCCGAAGCUUAACCACGCCAAAGGUAUAGGCUGGGUCGCAGUUGAAUAAAUUGCGAACUGUCGCGAAAAUUUCGCGGAGCGCUAUCGAAUAU